GAUCAUAACUCAGGACGAACGCUGGCGGCGCGCCUAACACAUGCAAGUCGAACGAGCGAGAGAGAGCUUGCUUUCUCGAGCGAGUGGCGAACGGGUGAGUAACGCGUGAGGAACCUGCCUCAAAGAGGGGGACAACAGUUGGAAACGACUGCUAAUACCGCAUAAGCCCACGACCCGGCAUCGGGUUGAGGGAAAAGGAGCAAUCCGCUUUGAGAUGGCCUCGCGUCCGAUUAGCUAGUUGGUG
rnacentral:rRNA from 1 species